UACGUAGGGUGCGAGCGUUGUCCGGAAUUAUUGGGCGUAAAGAGCUUGUAGGCGGUCUGUCGCGUCUGCUGUGAAAAUCCGGGGCUCAACCCCGGACUUGCAGUGGGUACGGGCAGACUAGAGUGUGGUAGGGGAGACUGGAAUUCCUGGUGUAGCGGUGAAAUGCGCAGAUAUCAGGAGGAACACCGAUGGCGAAGGCAGGUCUCUGGGCCGAUACUGACGCUGAGGAGCGAAAGCGUGGGGAGCGAACAGG
rnacentral:rRNA from 1 species